rnacentral:rRNA from 1 species
UACGGGGGGGGCAAGCGUUGUUCGGAAUUACUGGGCGUAAAGGGCUCGUAGGCGGCCAACUAAGUCGGAUGUGAAAUCCCCAGGCUUAACCUGGGAACUGCAUCCGAUACUGGAUGGCUUGAAUUCGGGAGAGGGAUGCAGAAUUCCAGGUGUAGCGGUGAAAUGCGUAGAUAUCUGGAGGAACACCGGUGGCGAAGGCGGCAUCCUGGACCGGUAUUGACGCUGAGGCGCGAAAGCUAGGGGAGCAAACGGGG